GCUACGGGAGGCAGCAGUGAGGAAUAUUGGUCAAUGGACGAGAGUCUGAACCAGCCAAGUAGCGUGAAGGAUGACUGCCCUAUGGGUUGUAAACUUCUUUUAUAAAGGAAUAAAACGAGGCACGUGUGCCUUUUUGCAUGUACUUUAUGAAUAAGGAUCGGCUAACUCCGUGCCAGCAGCCGCGGUAAUACGGAGGAUCCGAGCGUUAUCCGGAUUUAUUGGGUUUAAAGGGAGCGUAGAUGGGUUGUUAAGUCAGUUGUGAAAGUUUGCGGCUCAACCGUAAAAUUGCAAUUGAUACUGGCAGUCUUGAGUACAGUUGAGGUAGGCGGAAUUCGUGGUGUAGCGGUGAAAUGCUUAGAUAUCACGAAGAACUCCGAUUGCGAAGGCAGCUUACUAAACUGCCACUGACAUUGAUGCUCGAAAGUGUGGGUAUCAAACAGGAUUAGAUACCCGAGUAGUC
rnacentral:rRNA from 1 species